AACGAACGCUGGCGGCAGGCUUAACACAUGCAAGUCGAACGCCCCGCAAGGGGAGUGGCAGACGGGUGAGUAACGCGUGGGAAUCUACCCAUCUCUGCGGAAUAGCUCUGGGAAACUGGAAUUAAUACCGCAUACGCCCUACGGGGGAAAGACUUAUCGGGGAUGGAUGAGCCCGCGUUGGAUUAGCUAGUUGGUGGGGUAAAGGCCUACCAAGGCGACGAUCCAUAGCUGGUCUGAGAGGAUGAUCAGCCACAUUGGGACUGAGACACGGCCCAAACUCCUACGGGAGGCAGCAGUGGGGAAUACUGGACAAUGGGCGCAAGCCUGAUCCAGCCAUGCCGCGUGAGUGAUGAAGGCCUUAGGGUUGUAAAGCUCUUUCACCGAUGAAGAUAAUGACGGUAGUCGGAGAAGAAGCCCCGGCUAACUUCGUGCCAGCCGCCGCAGUAA
rnacentral:rRNA from 1 species